rnacentral:rRNA from 1 species
UGGGGAAUUUUGCACAAUGGGCGCAAGCCUGAUGCAGCGACGCCGCGUGAGGGAUGAAGGCCUUCGGGUUGUAAACCUUUUUCGCUCAUGGUCAAGCCGCAGCUUUGGGUUGUGGUGAGGGUAGUGGGUAAAGAAGCGCCGGCUAACUACGUGCCAGCAGCCGCGGUAAUACGUAGGGCGCGAGCGUUGUCCGGAAUUAUUGGGCGUAAAGGGCUUGUAGGCGGUUGGCCGCGUCUGCCGUGAAAUCCUCUGGCUUAACUGGGGGCGUGCGGUGGGUACGGGUUGACUUGAGUGCGGUAGGGGAGACUGGAAUUCCUGGUGUAGCGGUGGAAUGCGCAGAUAUCAGGAGGAACACCGGUGGCGAAGGCGGCUAUCUGGACAGUAACUGACGCUGAGGCGCGAAAGCGUGGGUAGCAAACAGG